GAUCAUGGCUCAGGAUGAACGCUGGCGGCGUGCCUAACACAUGCAAGUCGAACGGAGAUUAACGCUGAUGAGGCUUCGGCGGAAUCUGUUAAAUCUUAGUGGCGGACGGGUGAGUAACGCGUGGGCAACCUGCCUCGUACUGGGGGAUAACAGCUGGAAACGACUGUUAAUACCGCAUAAGCGCACGGUACCGCAUGGUACAGUGUGAAAAACUCCGGUGGUACGAGAUGGGCCCGCGUCAGAUUAGCCAGUUGGUGGGGUAACGGCCUACCAAAGCAACGAUCUGUAGCCGGACUGAGAGGUCGGACGGCCACAUUGGGACUGAGACACGGCCCAAACUCCUACGGGAGGCAGCAGUGGGGGAUAUUGCACAAUGGGCGAAAGCCUGAUGCAGCGACGCCGCCGUGAGUGAAGAAGUAUUUCGGUAUGUAAAGCUCUAUCAGCAGGGAAGAAAGACUCGUAAGAGAGAUGACGGUACCCGACUAAGAAGCCCCGGCUAACUACGUGCCAGCCGCCGC
rnacentral:rRNA from 1 species